CCUACGGGUGGCAGCAGUGAGGAAUAUUGGUCAAUGGACGAGAGUCUGAACCAGCCAAGUAGCGUGAAGGAUGACUGCCCUAUGGGUUGUAAACUUCUUUUAUAUGGGAAUAAAACGUUCCACGUGUGGGAUUUUGUAUGUACCAUAUGAAUAAGGAUCGGCUAACUCCGUGCCAACAGCCGCGGUAAUACGGAGGAUCCGAGCGUUAUCCGGAUUUAUUGGGUUUAAAGGGAGCGUAGGUGGAUUGUUAAGUCAGUUGUGAAAGUUUGCGGCUCAACCGUAAAAUUGCAGUUGAAACUGGCAGGCGUGAGUACAGUAGAGGUAGGCGGAAUAAGUGAUGUAGCGGUGAAAUGCUUAGAUAUGACGAAGAACUCCGAUUGCGAAGGCAGUUCACUGGACUGCAACUGACACUGAGGCUCGAGAGUGUGGGUAUCAAACAGGAUUAGAUACCCUUGUAGUC
rnacentral:rRNA from 1 species